AUUGAACGCUGGCGGAAUGCUUUACACAUGCAAGUCGAACGAUGAACCUUAGCUUGCUAAGGGGAUUAGUGGCGAACGGGUGAGUAAUAUAUCGGAACGUACCUUGUAAUGGGGGAUAACUAGUCGAAAGAUUAGCUAAUACCGCAUACGCCCUGAGGGGGAAAGUAGGGGAUCUUCGGACCUUACGUUAUAAGAGCGGCCGAUAUCUGAUUAGCUAGUUGGUGGGGUAAUGGCCUACCAAGGCGACGAUCAGUAGCUGGUCUGAGAGGACGACCAGCCACACUGGAACUGAGACACGGUCCAGACUCCUACGGGAGGCAGCAGUGGGGAAUUUUGGACAAUGGGCGCAAGCCUGAUCCAGCCAUUCCGCGUGAGUGAAGAAGGCCUUCGGGUUGUAAAGCUCUUUCGCAAGGGAAGAAAACUUACAUUCUAAUAAAGUGUGAGGCUGACGGUACCUUGAUAAGAAGCACCGGCUAACUACGUGCCAGCCGCCGCCGUAA
rnacentral:rRNA from 1 species